GCACAAUGGGCGCAAGCCUGAUGCAGCCAUGCCGCGUGUGUGAAGAAGGCCUUCGGGUUGUAAAGCACUUUCAGUCGUGAGGAAGGUAGUGUAGUUAAUAGCUGCAUUAUUUGACGUUAGCGACAGAAGAAGCACCGGCUAACUCCGUGCCAGCAGCCGCGGUAAUACGGAGGGUGCGAGCGUUAAUCGGAAUUACUGGGCGUAAAGCGCAUGCAGGUGGUUUGUUAAGUCAGAUGUGAAAGCCCCGGGGCUCAACCUCGGAAUUGCAUUUGAAACUGGCAGACUAGAGUACUGUAGAGGGGGUAGAAUUUCAGGUGUAGCGGUGAAAUGCGUAGAGAUCUGAAGGAAUACCGGUGGCGAAGGCGGCCCCCUGGACAGAUACUGACACUCAGAUGCGAAAGCGUGGGGAGCAAACAGGAUUAGAUACCCUGGUAG
rnacentral:rRNA from 1 species